ACUCAGCCUGCACCUGCCUUAGCUCUUGCAGCCGCAUACCACUGCUACCUCCCCGCAGAGACUGAAAAAAAAAAAAACAACAAAAAAAACCCAGAAGGUACUCUUUGAAGGAUUGCAUGGUACUGCCUGGACCCUCGGGUUCACAAUGAUGAAGCCUUCUCCAGGAGAAGCUCCCCAACAUGAGCCGCCUUCAGGACCCAGGUUGGCUGCUGGCCAUGGCCUUGGGCUUCCUAGGCAAAGCCAGACUGGGAACCCAGUUACCAAACUGCCCCGGGCAGUUGCCUGAAGCUGCUGAGUCUGGGCUUCGGUUAACCUACAGCUCUUCAAGAUUCAGGAGUGUAUUGGAGGGGAACGUGCUGUCCUAACAGCUUCAUGCACAAAACUUUGGAGGAGCUCCAGGGCAUCCUGGGAGCCAAGAAGGAAAAGCUGCAGCUAAAGGCCCAGAGAGAGAGAGCCAGCAGGCCCACAGCUUCCCGCGCAAGUGGGGGCAUUGAGAAGCCCGCUAGAAGAAGAGCCUGGGGGUCAUGAAUAAGGCACCAGCAGAGGCCAGUGGAGACUGUGAUGCCGAGGAACCGCCGGGGCCCCAGAAAGUAGACGGGGCCAGAGAGCAGGAGGAGGGGGAAGAUAAAGCCCGGUAUUUCCCUCAGGUGGUGGGCAAGGAGCCUGACGCUUGUUCCUGAAGGUGGUCAAGCGCAGACAGCCCACCAGGCCCCCAGGGUAGAAGCAGCGGGUAAAGGAGCUGAAGCCUGACCUACGCCGAGACCUAAGUUGUGAUUGGAGGCUUCCAAGACCACUAGCUGCAAUGAGAAGAAUGCCAUCUACAAACCAAGAAAAGGGCUCUAACCAGAAACCACAUCAACCACCACCUUGAUUUUGGACUUCCCAACCUAUAGAACUUGAAAAUGGCGGCGAUGCGUGAAGAAGAGGCUAGUCAGCACGUGGGAAUUUUAUGAUUGAACACAUCUGAUUUUGAGGCUUGUGUGCUAUAGACAUAAAUUUCUCAGCGUGAUUGCUGCUCAU